AUGGGGGCACCAGGCUUAGGGGGCAAUGGCAGACUAAGAAAAGAUGUGAAAAGGGGCUUGGCCUUUAAGAACUCAGCAGUUGCCUAUGAGCUGCGGAAAUUUAAUCUCGAUUAUCAGAUCCCCAAACCCCCAUCACCGCUGAAUGGGAACCGCUGUCACAUCCAUAUUGGCGAACUCUCUCGCUUCCUGUCCGCAACAUGGCUGCUCCCAGAUGCUGUUUCCGACUGGGGCCGCCAUCUUGAGAGCCUCGUUGUUUCCGUACAAGCGGAGGAUUUGCCGGGUAUUGAGCCUGAGCGUGGGCUGUACCACCGCGGCAGCAAAGGGAGGGGAAGACGACGGGAAGGAGGCCUAAGACAGGAACAGAGAGAAGUCGGACUAAAAAAAAACAAAACAAAAGCAGCACUUCCAGCCAGGCCACCAAGCACCAUCUCUUAUCUGCCUGAGAGCCCAAAGCCAGCGUUAUAUAUAACUGUGGCAGGACUAAUCCCCUUCGUUGCUCCAGCACUGGUCAUGCUGAUGACAAAAACUUAUAUUCCCAUAUUAGCUUUUACUCAGAUAGCUUAUGGAGUCAGUUUCCUAUCUUUCUUGGGUGGGAUCAGGUGGGGUUUUGCUCUACCAGAAAGUAGUCCAACCAAACCAGAUGUCCUUAAUUUGGCUAACAGUACAACUCCUCUUCCGUUUUCAUGGUUUGCCUUCCUUUUUUCUGAAAAACUCGGUGAAGCAGAAGCCAUAGUCACAAUAAUAAUGGGUCUGGGGAUAGCAUUACACCUUGAAGCUUUUCUCUUACCACAUUAUCCCAACUGGUUCAAAGCCCUGAGGUUAGUAGUCACUUUAGUGGCCACUUUUUCACUGAUAAUCACUUUAAUAGUUAAAGAUGUUUUUUUCCGAAAAAGGACAUAAGAAACCUGGUCAAAUAUAAAAAUACACUGUAGAUAACACUAGUAUGCUGGUUACACCUUUUUCUACUUCUGUUUGGCUCUUUUUUCCCACACCAAUGGUAAUUUACUCUUCACAGAUUGUUCUUCAUUUCUAGAAGUUGUUAUUUCAUAGUAAUUACUUGCGCAAGAGCUUGAAAAUCCCUGUCAAAUGCUUUCAUCUCAUAGUAAACUAGUUUUCAGUCAUUUUAUGAAUAAUAUAGUUAUCCACUUAAACAUUUGAAUGUUUUAGCUGUCUUGAAAAUUAAAAGAUUAAAAAUU